rnacentral:rRNA from 1 species
CCUACGGGGGGCAGCAGUGGGGAAUUUUGGACAAUGGGCGAAAGCCUGAUCCAGCCAUUCCGCGUGAGUGAAGAAGGCCUUCGGGUUGUAAAGCUCUUUCGCAAGGGAAGAAAGAUUAUCCUCUAACAUAGGAUGAUUAUGACGGUACCUUGAUAAGAAGCACCGGCUAACUACGUGCCAGCAGCCGCGGUAAUACGUAGGGUGCGAGCGUUAAUCGGAAUUACUGGGCGUAAAGCGUGCGCAGGCGGUUUUGUAAGUCAGAUGUGAAAUCCCCGAGCUCAACUUGGGAACUGCGUUUGAAACUACAAGACUAGAAUAUGUCAGAGGGGGGUAGAAUUCCACGUGUAGCAGUGAAAUGCGUAGAGAUGUGGAGGAAUACCAAUGGCGAAGGCAGCCCCCUGGGAUAAUAUUGACGCUCAUGCACGAAAGCGUGGGGAGCAAACAGGAUUAGAUACCCUUGUAGUC